UACGAAGUUCAAUUUGGUAUUUGAAAUCACAGGAAUAUAAGUAUAAAUUAGCAACAAUUUGUUUCGCACUUUUCUCCUCGUUUCACGACGUCAGAACAACAUGGGCGACACUGGCGACAUCUAGUAAUGAGUUUUGAAUCUUAAGUUAGUUGCACUGUCAGUCAGUCACAGACAGACAUGACAUUACACGUCGUAACUUUCAUAAGUUAUUUCAUAAGUUACUUAAAAAGUUUAACAGCAGAGAUCGGAUAACAUGUCACUUUUUUUAAAAUAAUUUCAGCUGAAGUUUUCAUGUGGGCCUACCUGGCCAACUAUGUGCUCAUGACAAUAGAAAUGAAAUGGUCUAAUCCAAUAAUGCAUGCCCACAACCUUAUGUCUUCUGAAGCAAAAUAAUUUAUGUUGCAAGUUGUAAAUCAUCAAAAUAUUGAUGCUUUCGCCAGAGUCGAUUCUAUGUUGCUAUCUAUUUUGCGGACAACAGCAAGAAAAUGCUGCUACUCAAGAUUUUAUGGUGACCAACACUUUGUUGUAAUUUAGGGCAAUGUAAGGUUGAUAGAUU